GAAACUCAAUGGAGCCUCUCAUAACAUAAUGUUCUCAUAUAGAGCCUAUAGAUAUCUGACUCUCAGCCAGUCAGAUGGGGAGCUUAAGGAGGUUAAUUCUAAAAUGAGGUAUUUGGGAAAGCAGGCAAGGAAAAAAAAAAAUAAAAAAAUCAGCUACUUAAACAAGGACUAAGGAGAACUGCCACCCUUUCUGGAUGCAGAGGGAAAUACCACUGUGGCCCAGGGCUCAGUAUCAGGAGUGUUGAUCAGCUGGAGGGCAGGAAGGCCCUGCAGAGGGAUUUGGACACGCUGUAUCAAUGGGCUGAGGACACCUGGAUGAGGAAGGCAAACAAUAA